rnacentral:rRNA from 1 species
UACAGAGGGGGCAAGCGUUGUCCGGAUUUACUGGGCGUACAGCGCGCGCAGGCGGUUGCGUAUGUGAGCGGUGACAUCCGCGGGCUCAACCCGCGGCGGCCCGCUUACACAGCGCGACUGGAGGCAGGGAGAGGGAUGUGGAAUACCCGGUGGAGCGGUGAAAUGCGUAGAGAUCGGGUGGAACACCAGCGGCGAAGGCGGCAUCCUGGCCCUGUACUGACGCUGAGGUGCGAAAGCGUGGGGAGCAAACAGG